UAUAUGAGUCUUUAUCUUUGUAUCUUCUAACAAGGAAACACUACUUAGGCUUUUAGGAUAAGGUUGCGGGUUAAGUUCUUAUACUCAAUCAUACACAUGAUAUCAAGUCAUAUUCGACUCCAAAACACUAACCAAGCUUCUUCUUGCUUCUUAAAAGCUUUGAAGUCCAUAUGAGUCUUUGUCCAUAUGAAGU
rnacentral:sRNA from 1 species